AUUGAACGCUGGCUGCAGGCCUAACACAUGCAAGUCGAACGAGUGGCGGACGGGUGAGUAAUGUCUGGGAAACUGCCCGCUGGAGGGGGCUCACUACUGGAAACUGUAGCUAAUACCGCAUACCCUCGGAUGUGCCCCGAUGGGAUUAGCUAGUAGGUGGGGUAACGGCUCACGUAGGCGACGCUCCCUAGCUGGUCUGAGAGGAUGACCAGCCACACGGGAACUGAGAAACGGUCCAGACUCCUAGGGGAGGCAGAAGUGGGGAAUAUUGCACAAUGGGCGCAAGUCUGAUGCAGCCAUGCCGAGUGUAUGAAGAAGGCCUUCGGGUUGUAAAGUACUUUCAGCGAGGAGGCGUUACUCGCAGAAGAAGCACCGGCUAACUCCGUGCCAGCAGCCGCGGUAAUUC
rnacentral:rRNA from 1 species